ACACACAGAGCAUCAAAAAUGGUGGCUCAUGGCAAAGAGGUUAAGAUCAAUAUUGACUGAUAGUACUCUCCAAAAAAUAAAAUGAUGGAUGAAUGUCACAGUGCCAGAUUUCUGCUUUUAUUUGCCAGCACCUCACUCCAGGAGCACACAUGCAGAGACAACAGAACAACUGCUGCUGUGGGAACCCUUUCACCACUGCCAUUGAGCAGAAGCU